UCCCUCGUGGCGCAAUUGGCUAGCGCGUUCGACUGUUACUUGAAGCAAUUCAAUCGGCGAUCGAGAGGUUAGUGGUUCAAUCCCACUCGAGGGAG